CUACAACUCCCAGGGUGCAGCGCGGCAGAUCCAAUCUGCAGGGUCGGUGGCUCGGAGCUGCACAUCACCGUUGCCUCACGUCGGUAUCUGGCGGAUCGGUUGGAGGAGAAAUGGCUGCAGCUCUGUCCCGAGCCCUCAAACUGCCCGGGAAGAAGGGCUCAGAGCUCGGCGAGUACGACCCUCUCACCCAAGCGGACAGCGAGGACGAGAGCGAAGAGGAUGACCUGGUCCUCAACUACCCCCGGAACGGCCUGGGCAGGGACGGCUGCCUGGGCUCGGGCUCCUCCAAGCUGCGGGGCGGCAGAUCCGGACGGCUGGUGGGAGCCCCAGAUGAGGCGCAGGAGGACGAGGAGGAAGAGGAGGACGAGUGGAGGGAGCAUCUCCCCAGCAAGUCCAGGCAGGACAGGGAGGCCAUGAAGGGCGUCCAGUACUGGAGCCACGGGGACUCGGGAAGGGAGAGGACGGGGGAGGACAGGCGGGGGUCGGGGGGUUUGGGGGGCGCCGGGCUGGGGGUUCACAGCGCCGAGGCGGAGGAGAAGAGGAUGAGGGUGAAGAAUGCCGUCCGAAGUGCGUUUUUCCUGGUGCCUCUGGUCUUUGCCAUGCUGCUGGUGCUGCUGUGUGCGUUCCUGAUCCCCUGCCAGAAGGGGGAACUGGGGAAGACGCUGCAGUGGGAGAAAGCACUGGGAGACGCAGGAGGUGUCACUCCACCCGCACUGGCUUUGUGGGACGUGGACGGGGAUUCGGUGGAGGAUGUGUUUCUGGGUGUUACCGGCUGGACCAAUGAUACCCACACCACACAAGGGAACAAAGUUUACAGUGCGGUGGCUGUUUCUGCCGUCAGCGGUCAGGUGCUGUGGAGGAAAGUGAUGCGGGAGUCUGUGAUGUACAUCCAGUGUGGUCUGCAGUUCACCACCCAACCCUCACCUGUGUGUCUCCUCAUUGGAAAAUCCAUCAUCAUGGCUGUCAACGGCACCACAGGGGAGAAGUUGUGGCCCGUCAUGCUGAAGAACAUUGAAUCCCAGGCGGUGUUGCUUCCAGACCUCCAGGGCGACUCGGUUCCAGAUCUGCUCGUUGCCACCCUGCCUGUAGAUGAGGCUUUGGAUCUCUCCCUGACGCUGAUCUCAGGACGGACAGGUGCGAUGCUCGGACAUCCCGUGCCUUUCAACCUCACCGGACAAGGAAGGCUGAUUGGUCCUUUGCUGCAUGAGACGCAACACGGGGCGUACUACAUCCUCUUUGGACUAGGUAAUGUCGAGGCCAUCUCUCUGCGAGACAUCUACAUUCGCGCCACUUCCAAAAUGCCCAUAACCCAGGCACUUAGAAAGAGGGAUCCAGGAUGGGAAGGACUCAAGAAAACCAAUUUAUCCUCCUUCAUUCACAUUUACAGAGGAGCUGAGCAUGCGGAGUUCUUGCUCCCUCUUGUGACUGGUUUUGGCAACAACCACAACAACCUGGACACGGUUUCGAACCUGAACGCCAGCAGAAGUGACUGGGUGUUGGUGUACGGAUCCAGCAAGCUGUCAGUUCUCAGACAGAAGGACUUAAGAAAAGAAUGGACUUUCAACUCAGCUCCCAUCCACAGUCAACCAACCCUGGGACACUUCAAUGAUGAUGGAAUCCUUGAUCUUUUCAUUCAGCAUUCAGCAAACGGUACCAUGAAGACGCAGAUCGUCGAUGGAGCAAACAGGGACGUUCUCUGGACGUCAGAGUUUGUGUGUCCUCAUCUCGUUUUGGAAGCAUCUGCAAUCUCCACCUCAACCGGCCAAUCAGCGUUCCUAUUCUGGGCCAGCGAACCAAUCAAAGCACAGAGAAAUGUUACCAAGACAACGGUGACACAAGGUCUUGCUGCACCAGAGCCGCUCAUCAGAAAACUUUUCCUGCUGCAUCCUGCGUAUCCCUUAAUCCUGCUGGAGCUCACCAGUACCACGGACACUACAGUCACAUCUGCAGUGAGCUACCAGGAGCAUCAGAAAGACGCCUCCUACAUUACCGUGUCCUCCAGACCAACGCCUGACUCUGAGCCUGGUGCUCGGAUAGUCAAGAGCAUGAGCCUCAGAGCUGCUAUCACCAAAGGGCAGAUUGUCAGACUAGGAGAAACCAAUAAGAACGGAGGGCCCAUUAAACCGAGCGCCUUCGAGAUCUACAAGUUCUUCCGGCGUCUGACCUUCAAACGUCAGUGAAAACAUUUGGGUUUGACAUCAAACGAUGAAUAUGAGACGAGAGAUCAACAUUUCAUCUUUUAUUUCCAGUGAUUAACCAACUCUGCACCCUGCUAGAAGCGGUACGACUUAAAGGACUGUGUGAGGAUGAAAGGGACAAAAGCUGUGGAUCGUUCUGCACUUGAAUUCAUUUGAAGCUGUUUACAUCUCGUUAAGUAGAAUUUCACUUCUGUUACUUGAGCAAGAGAUUUGUAUUGUUUUGGUAUACAUUAUGUUGCUUAUUUAAAUUAUUUGACUUGCAUUUAGGAAGCCUGUAAUAUUUAACUGAAUGUUUAUAAUGGACAUGAUGACAGGGGAGUAACUUUCAACUGGAAUUUAUUACCAACUUUGAAGCACAAUAAUGUGAUGAAAGAAUAUGUAAAUGCAUUCACAGUAUGGUUCACUCAUAACACUUCCAAGGCCAGUAUUUUCCUGUGCUGUCAUUCCCUGGUCACAUGCAUUUCCUCCCCCUGAAACCACUAAUAGUGUUUCUACUGCUCAUUAUCACAAUAUGUAGUAUAUAGGGAGUCUGUAAAUAUUUAAUGCUGUACAGUAUUUAUUGGUUUGCUUUAGGGUUUUGUUUUGUUUUUUCAUGUUUGAAAUUUUGACUGAUCUUUUAAUGUACAGUAAAGUCCAGAAUUAUUCAUCCCCAUGCCAAAUUUGAAUUUAUAGUUAUUUUUUUAUUCAACUAAUAGGGUUAUUCUAACUUCCUCUGUUUUUUGUGUCAUACAUUUUAACUAUUUCUGUGGUCUUUGUUCAGUUUUACAAAAAAAUGCCAUGUCCAAGAUGAUUUAUAUCCAGUAAUCAGUGUCAACGCCUUUAUUCACACAUCAGUUUUAUUUGAUUAGUAAGUAUUUUUUCUGGCUGUAAAUGGCAUAAACCAAUGACAAAAAGCAGAAAUAGCUUGUGUUAGAGAUGUUAAUGAUACAUUUGAACAAUUUUAUGCUUUAAUGAUACUUUUUUUUAAGAAUAUGCAGCUUCUAUCCCAUUCUAAAUAGUUCUCGUAACUUGUACUAUGUCCUAGAUUUUUUGAAUACAUUAGAAGCUGAGAACAGCUCAGGCAGUAGUUCUCUAGUUAGUUUCUAGUCAAUCGCAAGUCAUGGCUACAACCAACGAGCAAAGUGAGCUGGUUAUUAUAGUUGCACAUUGUUGCUGCUCACAUGACAGAGAAAAGCUCGAAAGUCAUUCAAAAUUAGCAUCAAAAAGUACAAUGAGAGCAAUACUGAGAAAUUCCAAAGAUUUUAGUUGGAAGCCAAAAGUUUCCCAAGCAGAAUCCAAGAAUCACCACCAUCCUGAUGAAUCUGAGCAACUGUGUGAACGAUAUCUCAAUUAGACACUAUAGCAGAUUGUGAACAAGCAAUGAAAGAAGACCCUACUUCUCCAAGACAGACACACAGAGCUCACCUGGACUAAGUUAAAACACUCGCACCAGUGACACAAAGAGCAGAAAAGUCCACAAAUUCGCUUUAAAUCAAAAGUUGGCAUGAGGAUGAAUAAUUUAACUGCAUAUAAUCAACCACUUUCUCAGAAGAUGUGGCUGCUAAAGGUUCUGGCAUUUCAAUGUAAGCUGCAACUCCUCAAGAGAAAGUAAACUGCAACGUGUC